ensembl:rRNA Gm24222 predicted gene, 24222
AUAAAUUACCACCCUGAAUAUGCCUGAUACCUGAUCUCAGGAGCUAAGCAGAAUUGGGUCUGCUUUGUACUUGAAUGGUAGACAACAUUUGUC